rnacentral:rRNA from 1 species
AUUGAACGCUGGCGGCAGGCCUAACACAUGCAAGUCGAACGAGUGGCGGACGGGUGAGUAAUGUCUGGGAAACUGCCUGAUGGAGGGGGAUAACUACUGGAAACGGUGGCUAAUACCGCAUACCAUCAGAUGUACCCAGAUGGGAUUAGCUAGUAGGUGGGGUAAAGGCUCACCAAGGCGACGAUCCCUAGCUGGUCUGAGAGGAUGACCAGCCACACUGGAACUGAGACACGGUCCAGACUCCUACGGGAGGCAGCAGUGGGGAAUAUUGCACAAUGGGCGCAAGCCUGAUGCAGCCAUGCCGCGUGUAUGAAGAAGGCCUUAGGGUUGUAAAGUACUUUCAGCGGGGAGGCGUUACCCGCAGAAGAAGCACCGGCUAACUCCGUGCCAGCAGCCGCGGUAAUAC